ACUGGUGACAGAAAAAUCCACAUUCAAAGCCAGCUUGAGCUACAAAAUGAGUUGAAAGCCAGCACAAGAAACUUAAGGAUAUCUGUUGGAGUCUGGCAGUCAUUUGCCUGUACACCCGUUGUCUCCAACCCAAUAUCUACAUAAUCCAACUACGUGGAAUGGGACAAUAGAGAAAGAAGGUUGGACUGAAGCAAUAGCAAUGGAUACAGAGAACAGACUGGCAUUGAGAAAUGUUCAUCGCUGUAGCCUCACCUCACGAAUUCUGAGCUAUGGCGCUGAUCGAUCAGUAUGAAGGUAUAUAUACCCCAACAUGUACCUAAAGGGACACAUAAGAGCUGGCGCUGGU